rnacentral:rRNA from 1 species
UGGGGAAUAUUGGACAAUGGGCGCAAGCCUGAUCCAGCCAUGCCGCGUGGGUGAUGAAGGCCUUAGGGUUGUAAAGCCCUUUCGGCGGGGAAGAUAAUGACGGUACCCGCAGAAGAAGCCCCGGCUAACUUCGUGCCAGCAGCCGCGGUAAUACGAAGGGGGCUAGCGUUGCUCGGAAUUACUGGGCGUAAAGCGCACGUAGGCGGCUUGUUAAGUCGGGGGUGAAAUCCCGGAGCUCAACUCCGGAACUGCCUUCGAUACUGGCAAGCUGGAGUCCGGGGGAGGUGAGUGGAACUGCGAGUGUAGAGGUGAAAUUCGUAGAUAUUCGCAAGAACACCGGUGGCGAAGGCGGCUCACUGGCCCGGUACUGACGCUGAGGUGCGAAAGCGUGGGGAGCAAACA